GCAUUCGUGAUUCAGUGGUAGAAUUCUUGCCUUCCAUGUAGGAGGCCAGGGUUUGAUUCCUGGCCAGUGCA
rnacentral:tRNA from 1 species